UACAGAGGGUGCGAGCGUUAAUCGGAAUUACUGGGCGUAAAGCGUGUGCAGGCGGUCUGUUAAGACAGGUGUGAAAUCCCCGGGCUUAACCUGGGAAUGGCGCUUGUUACUGGCAGACUAGAGUGCGUCAGAGGGGGGUGGAAUUCCACGUGUAGCAGUGAAAUGCGUAGAGAUGUGGAGGAACACCAAUGGCGAAAGCAGGUACCUGGACUAGUACUGACACUCAGCUGCGAAAGCUAGGGGAGCAAACAGG
rnacentral:rRNA from 1 species